rnacentral:rRNA from 1 species
UACGUAGGGUGCGAGCGUUAAUCGGAAUUACUGGGCGUAAAGCGUGCGCAGGCGGUUGGUUAAGUCUGAUGUGAAAGCCCCGGGCUCAACCUGGGAAUGGCAUUGGAAACUGGUCAGCUGGAGUGUGGCAGAGGGGGGUGGAAUUCCGCGUGUAGCAGUGAAAUGCGUAGAGAUGCGGAGGAACACCGAUGGCGAAGGCAGCCCCCUGGGCCAACACUGACGCUCAGGCACGAAAGCGUGGGGAGCGAACAGG